rnacentral:rRNA from 1 species
ACUACCCUCGAGUGGGGAAUAACUUCGGGAAACCGAGGCUAAUACCGCAUAAUACCCACGGGUCAAAGGAGCAAUUCGCUUGAGGAGGGGGUCGCGGCCCGAUUAGUUAGUUGGCGGGGUAAUGGCCCCACCAAGACGGUGAUCGGUAUCCGGCCUGAGAGGGCGCACGGACACACUGGAACUGAAACACGGUCCAGACUCCUACGGGAGGCAGCAGUGGGGAAUUUUGCGCAAUGGGGGAAACCCUGACGCAGCAACGCCGCGUGGAGGAUGAAGUCUCUUGGGACGUAAACUCCUUUCGAUCGGGACGAUUAUGACGGUACCGGAAGAAGAAGCCCCGGCUAACUUCGUG